GAUGAACGCUGGCGGCGUGCCUAAUACAUGCAAGUCGAGCGAACAGACGAGGAGCUUGCUCCUCUGACGUUAGCAGCGGACGGGUGAGUAACACGUGGAUAACCUACCUAUAAGACUGGGAUAACUUCGGGAAACCGGAGCUAAUACCGGAUAAUAUAUUGAACCGCAUGGUUCAAUAGUGAAAGACGGUUUUGCUGUCACUUAUAGAUGGAUCCGCGCCGCAUUAGCUAGUUGGUAAGGUAACGGCUUACCAAGGCAACGAUGCGUAGCCGACCUGAGAGGGUGAUCGGCCACACUGGACCUGAGACACGGUCCAGACUCCUACGGGAGGCAGCAGUAGGGAAUCUUCCGCAAUGGCGAAAGCCUGACGGAGCAACGCCGCGUGAGUGAUGAAGGUCUUCGGAUCGUAAAACUCUGUUAUUAGGGAAGAACAAAUGUGUAAGUAACUAUGCACGUCUUGACGGUACCUAAUCAGAAAGCCACGGCUAACUACGUG
rnacentral:rRNA from 1 species